rnacentral:rRNA from 1 species
GAUGAACGCUGGCGGCAUGCCUAACACAUGCAAGUCGAACGAAGCACAUGACGAAGCUUGCUUAAGAUUGUGACUUAGUGGCGGACGGGUGAGUAAUGCAUGAGCAACCUGCCUUAAAGAGGGGGAUAACACAGAGAAAUUUGUGCUAAUACCGCAUGUGCUUACGGAAUGGCAUCAUUCUGUAAGGAAAGGAGCAAUCCGCUUUAAGAUGGGCUCAUGUCUGAUUAGAUAGUUGGUGAGGUAACGGCUCACCAAGUCUACGAUCAGUAGCCGGACUGAGAGGUUGAUCGGCCACAUUGGAACUGAGAUACGGUCCAG